UACGUAGGGUGCGAGCGUUAAUCGGAAUUACUGGGCGUAAAGGGUGCGCAGGCGGCGUCGCAAGUCAGGCGUGAAAUCCCCGGGCUUAACCUGGGAACUGCACUUGAAACUACGAUGCUGGAGUAUGGCAGAGGGAGGUGGAAUUUCACGUGUAGCGGUGAAAUGCGUAGAGAUGUGGAGGAACACCGAUGGCGGAGGCAGCCUCCUGGGCCAAUACUGACGCUCAUGCACGAAAGCGUGGGGAGCAAACAGG
rnacentral:rRNA from 1 species